GACGAACGCUGGCGGCGUGCUUAACACAUGCAAGUCGAACGAUGAAACCUAGCUUGCUAGGUCGAUUAGUGGCGAACGGGUGAGUAACACGUGACUAACCUGCCCCUUUCUCUGGGAUAACGCUCCGAAAGGAGUGCUAAUACCGGAUACUCACCCCGAGGCACAUGCCUUGGGGUGGAAAGUUUUUCGGAAAGGGAUGGAGUCGCGGCCUAUCAGCUUGUUGGUGAGGUAACGGCUCACCGAGGCGACGACGGGUAGCCGGCCUGGGAGGGCGACCGGCCACACUGGGACUGAGACACGGCCCAGACUCCUACGGGAGGCAGCAGUGGGGAAUAUUGCACAAUGGGCGCAAGCCUGAUGCAGCGACGCCGCGUGAGGGAUGAAGGUCUUCGGAUUGUAAACCUCUUUCAGUAGGGACGAAGCGAAAGUGACGGUACCUAAAGAAGAAGCACCGGCUAACUACGUGCCAGCCGCCGCCGUAA
rnacentral:rRNA from 1 species